CUGGUUGAUCCUGCCAGAGGUCACUGCUAUCGGGGUUCGAUUAAGCCAUGCGAGUCGAGAGGGUUCAGACCCUCGGCGGACUGCUCAGUAACACGUGGAUAACCUGCCCUAAGGUGGAGCAUAACCCCGGGAAACUGGGGAUAAUACUCCAUAGGUUAGAGAUACUGAAUGUUCUUUAAUCAAAAGUUCCGGCGCCUUAGGAUGGAUCUGCGGCCGAUUAGGUAGUUGUUGGGGUAACGGCCCAACAAGCCUGUAAUCGGUACGGGUUGUGGGAGCAAGAGCCCGGAGAUGGAAUCUGAGACACGAUUCCAGGCCCUACGGGGCGCAGCAGGCGCGAAAACUUUACAAUGCAGGAAACUGUGAUAAGGGAACCCCGAGUGCCCGUAUACGCGGGCUGUCCGGGUGUAUAAAAAGCAUCUGAAGAAAGGGCCGGGCAAGACCGGUGCCAGCCGCCGCGGUAAUACCGGCGGCUCGAGUGGUGACCACUUUUAUUGGGCUUAAAGCGUUCGUAGCUGGACUCUUAAGUCUCUUGGGAAAUCCCGCGGCUCAACCGUGGGGCGUUUAAGAGAUACUGGGAGUCUAGGAACCGGGAGAGGUAAGAGGUACUUCGGGGGUAGAAGUGAAAUUCUGUAAUCCUCGAGGGACCACCGAUGGCGAAGGCAUCUUACCAGAACGGCUUCGACAGUGAGGAACGAAAGCUGGGGGAGCGAACGGGAUUAGAUACCCGGGUAGUCCCAGCCGUAAACGAUGCGCGUUAGGUGUGCCGGUGACCACGAGUCACUGGGGUGCCGAAGGGAAACCGUGAAACGUACCGCCUGGGAAGUACGGUCGCAAGGCUGAAACUUAAAGGAAUUGGCGGGGGAGCACCAC
rnacentral:rRNA from 1 species